GACGUAGGGCGCGAGCGUUGUCCGGAUUUAUUGGGCGUAAAGAGCUCGUAGGCGGCUCGUCGCGUCGACCGUGAAAACUUGGGGCUCAACCCCAAGCCUGCGGUCGAUACGGGCAGGCUAGAGUUCGGUAGGGGAGACUGGAAUUCCUGGUGUAGCGGUGAAAUGCGCAGAUAUCAGGAGGAACACCGGUGGCGAAGGCGGGUCUCUGGGACGGUACUGACGCUGAGACGCGAAAGCGUGGGGAGCGAACAGG
rnacentral:rRNA from 1 species